UCGCUCCGCUUACAAGGCUUGCUGGGCUCGCUAAGCCCAGGCUAUUGGCUCCAUCGAUGCUCAUACGCCACCUCCGCCUGACCCGCCCCCGCCUCACGCCGUCGCUCGACCUCCCAAGUCCCGCAUAACUUCGGCCGUUCAGCGACGACUGGCCCGGCGUGCGGAUGCCUUGCUGGUGGGCAUAGGUGGCUUGCCCUGUGCAACCACGAAACGAC
rnacentral:misc_RNA from 1 species